GAUGAAGAACGUAGCGAAAUGCGAUAAGUAAUGUGAAUUGCAGAAUUCAGUGAAUCAUCGAAUCUUUGAACGCACAUUGCGCCCGCCAGUAUUCUGGCGGGCAUGCCUGUUCGAGCGUCAUUACAACCCUCAGGCCCCCGGGCCUGGCGUUGGGGAUCGGCGGAGCCCCCCGUGGGCACACGCCGUCCCCCAAAUACAGUGGCGGUCCCGCCGCAGCUUCCAUCGCGUAGUAGCUAACACCUCGCGACUGGAGAGCGGCGCGGCCACGCUGUAAAACACCCAACUCUUCUGAAGUUGACCUCGAAUCAGGUAGGAAUACCCGCUGAACUUAAGCAUAUCAAUAAGCGGAGGA
rnacentral:misc_RNA from 1 species